rnacentral:rRNA from 1 species
GAUUAAGCCAUGCAUGUGUAAGUAUAAAUAAUUCUACUUUGAAACUGCGAAUGGCUCAUUAUAUCAGUUAUAGUUUAUUAGAAAAAAUGUACUACUUGGAUAACCGUAGUAAUUCUAGGGCUAAUACAUGAAUGAAUCCUCGACUUUGAAGAGGUGUGUUUAUUAGUAUGAAAACCAUAUGCUUCGGCAUAAUAGUGAGUAAUAAUAACCUUUCGUAUCGUAUGUUGAAAUAACGAUAGUUCUUUCAAGUUUCUGCCCUAUCAGCUUUCGAUGGUAGUGUAUUGGACUACCAUG